rnacentral:rRNA from 1 species
UACGGAGGAUCCUAGCGUUAUCCGGAUUUACUGGGUUUAAAGGGUGCGUAGGCGGGCGUUUAAGUCCGCGGUGAAAGUCUGCGGCUCAACCGUAGGAUUGCCGUGGAUACUGGACGUCUUGGAUUCGGUCGGGGCGGGCGGAAUGCGUGGUGUAGCGGUGAAAUGCAUAGAUAUCACGCAGAACGCCGAUAGCGAAGGCAGCUCGCCGGGCCGAAAUCGACGCUGAGGCACGAAAGCGUGGGGAUCAAACAGGAUUAGAUACCCUGGUAGUCCACGCCGUAAACGAUGAUGGCUGGGUGUUGGCGAUACAUAGUCAGCGCCUGAGGGAAACCAUUAAGCCAUCCACCUGGGGAGUACGGCCGCAAGGCUGAAACUCAAAGGAAUUGACGGGGGCCCGCACAAGCGGAGGAACAUGUGGUUUAAUUCGAUGAUACGCGAGGAACCUUACCUGGGCUAGAACGCUUCUGGAAUCAUGCCGAAAGGUGUGAGCCGGCAACGGCCGGGAGCGAGGUGCUGCAUGGUUGUCGUCAGCUCGUGCCGUGAGGUGUCGGGUUAAGUCCCAUAACGGGCGCAACCCCUACCGUUAGUUGCCAGCGGGUCAAGCCGGGCACUCUAAGGGAACUGCCGGCGUAAGCCGCGAGGAAGGCGGGGAUGACGUCAAAUCAGCACGGCCCUUACGUCCAGGGCUACACACGUGUUACAAUGGCCGGUACAGAGGGCAGCCACCCCGCGAGGGGGCGCGAAUCCCGAAAGCCGGUCUCAGUUCGGAUCGGAGUCUGGAACCCGACUCCGUGAAGCUGGAUUCGCUAGUAAUCGCGCAUCAGCCAUGGCGCGGUGAAUACGUUCCCGGGCCU